GAGUUUGAUCAUGGCUCACCCCUUAACGCUGGCGGCGUGCUUAACACAUGCAAGUCGAGCGACNNAUUUAUAUAUGAUUCUUAGGAAGAUUAUAUAAAUGGAAAGCGGCGGACGGGUGAGUAACGCGUGGGUAACCUGCCCUAUGCAGGGGGAUAACACAUUGAAAAGUGUGCUAAUACCGCAUAAGACCACAAAAUCGCAUGAUUUAGUGGUAAAAACUCCGGUAGCAUAGGAUGGACCCGCGUCUGAUUAGCUAGUAGGUAAGGUAACGGCUUACCUAGGCAACGAUCAGUAGCCGACCUGAGAGGGUGAACGGCCACAUUGGGACUGAGACACGGCCCAAACUCCUACGGGAGGCAGCAGUGGGGAAUAUUGCACAAUGGGGGAAACCCUGAUGCAGCGACGCCGCGUGAAGGAAGAAGGUUUUCGGAUCGUAAACUUCUAUCAGCAGGGAAGAUAGUGACAGUACCUGACUAANAAGCCCCGGCUAACUACGUGCCAGCAGCCGCGGUAAUACGUAGGGGGCAAGCGCUAUCCGGAUUUACUGGGUGUNAAGGGUGCGUAGGCGGCAAAGUAAGUCAGAUGUGAAAGCCCGAAGCUCAACUUCGGGACUGCAUUUGAAACUGCUUAGCUAGAGUGCAGGAGAGGAAAGUGGAAUUCCUAGUGUAGCGGUGAAAUGCGUAGAUNUUAGGAGGAACACCAGUGGCGAANGGCGACUUUCUGGACUGUNACUGACGCUGANGCACGAAANCGUNGGGGAGCGAACAGGAUUUAGAUACC
rnacentral:rRNA from 1 species